GAUGAACGCUGGCGGCGUGCCUAAUACAUGCAAGUCGAGCGAACAGACGAGGAGCUUGCUCCUCUGUCGUUAGCGGCGGACGGGAGAGUAACAAGUGGAUAACCUACCUUUAAGACUGGGAUAACUUCGGGAAACCGGAGCUAAUACCGGAUAAUAUAUUGAACCGCAUGGUUCAAUAGUGAAAGACGGUUUUGCUGUACCUUAUAGAUGGAUCCGCGCUGCAUUAGCUGGUUGGUAAGGUCACGGCUUACCAGGGCAACGAGGCGUGGCCGACCUGAGAGGGUGAUCGGCCACACUGGAACUGAGACACGGACCAGGCUCCUACGAGAGGCAGCAGUAUGGAAUCUUCCGCAAUGGGCGAAAGCAUGACAGAACAACGCCGCGUCAGUGAUGAAGGUCUUCCGAUCGUAAAACUCGGUUAUUAGGUAAGAACAGAUGUGUACGUAACUAUGCACGUCUUGACGGUACCUAGUCAAAAAGCCACGGCUAACUACGUG
rnacentral:rRNA from 1 species